AGUUGUAGUCAAUUAUGAUUUAUGAUUUGCAUUCAUGAGGUAUCGGUUAGAUCGGCUUU
rnacentral:tRNA from 1 species